rnacentral:tRNA from 1 species
GGGGCUGUAGCUCAGCUGGGGGAGCGCCUGCAUGGCAUGCAGGAGGUCGUCGGUUCGAUCCCGAUCAGCUCCACAA